rnacentral:rRNA from 1 species
UACGUAGGGGGCAAGCGUUGUCCGGAUUUAUUGGGCGUAAAGAGCGUGUAGGCGGCCAAGCAGGUCAGCUGUGAAAACUCGAGGCUCAACCUCGAGACGUCGGUUGAAACCGCGUGGCUAGAGUCCGGAAGAGGAGAGUGGAAUUCCCGGUGUAGCGGUGAAAUGCGCAGAUAUCGUCUGGAACGCCGAAGGUGAAAACAGCUCGCUGGGGCUGCGCUGACGCUGAGACACGAAAGCCAGGGGAGCGAACAGG